GAUGGGAGUUCCGGUCGGGGAGAAAGGCUGAGGCAGGGACGUGCGCUGCUGUGCGCGUGUGUUUGUGCGUGCGUGUGCGCGCGCGUGUCCCCCUCCUGGGCGGCGGCAAGCACAGAGGAAGGUUCAGUGCCAGUUUUGUUCCUGACUCAGGAAAGAGACGUGCAUGGGAUACAAGAAAGCCAGAUAACCCCGGACUGGACCCAGGGCCAACAGCCGAAUUAGGGGUGCUGCUGAGUUAAUUGGAGGGUGGAGGGUGGAUUUGUUGGAGGAACAAAGAAAAAGGCAGCAGGGACUCCUGGAUGUGGCCUUCGCCCCCCCCCCCCUCCAGGGGGUGCCUGCAGUUCAGAAGGGCCUCUUCUGAGUCCAGGAUUGCAGAACAGUCCCCUCCGAUGAACUCAUACUCAGAAGAGAGGGGAUGGUCUGGAAGGAGCCAUAGAGAAAAGUCUUCACUCCAAAAAAGGACAAAGGAAAGAUAAGCGGGAGCAAAAAGCCCUUUCCUUGAUGUGCCUAUGAGGAAGAAAGGAAUUUUGACAAUAGCUCCCAUGUACGCACUUACCUUGUAAAAUAGGUCAGAAACAACUCCUUUGGGUUCCAUGAGUCUCAGAGCUCAACCCUUUCUUGGAAAUUCACAGAGAAGAGUGAGGCUUCUCCUCAAAAGAGGACAACCACCAAAAAAACAUUCCCGACCCACUGCUCUGCCUUGGCCGUGGUGGCUGUGGAGGUGUGGGGAGGUCGGGCAGUGGAAGGGGUCUCUUCCCCCCAACUAUGCUAAGACUCUGCUGUCACAACCCACCCCAGCUGAGCCCAGAAUGGAAACCUGCAACAUCAGGCAAAGACACCCCCCGACAUGCUCACCGCUUCUCCCCAGAAUCAAUCCCCUCUGUCUCCACCCAAUUCUCAGGGCAGAGUUGCUGGGCGGCCCAUCCAUGGGCAGAACUGGAAGGAGAGUGAAAGGAAGCCAAGAAGAGCUUGUUGGUCAUGGCGCCUUGGUGGGGGCCUUCCAAAGCCAAGGUUUGAUGGUGUGUGCCUGAGAGCUCCUUUCAAAUUGGGAGGCAUCUGGGAGGUGAGGCACAGGUGAAACACACACUGAUCCCCAAAGCAGGAGCCAUGGCCUCUGGUUCUAACAGAGCAUAUCACUUCACCCUGGGGUCUCAAUUUCCUCAGCCACAGCUAAGGCUCAGUCGAGACCCCUUCAGUCCCCUUCAGCUCCCAAAUCCUAAUCGCUUUAAGAAUUAUCCCUACUCACCGGCUUGUUAUGUGCCAGCCCUGUGCUCAGCACAUUGCACACAUCGCCUCAUUUAAUCCUUAACUUAGAAACCAGAGCCCCAGAGAGGCUUUGUAACUUGCUCCAGGUCACACAGCUAGCAAAUACUGAAGUGGUCUAGCACAGAAGGCUGUGCUUUAAUCACUGACUCAGGACAGGUUAUUAUUUCUAUGAAUUUAGCUGGACCAAGUUAACUAGACCAAGCAAAAAAAUCCCCCCCAAACUGGUUCUUUGCCUUUUCAUAUUAAAGCGAAUGCAGGAAACUCAUAUAUAUGUAUAUGUAUAUGUAUAUGUAUAUGUAUAUGUAUAUGUGUAUAUGUAUCUAGGUAAAUCAGCAAUCAGCUACUAGAGCAUUUGAACCGGCAGCUUGGUCUUAUAUAUAUAUAUAUCAGGGAUGUUUUCUUCCUCUUCAUUUCUCUUGAACCCUCCUUACCAAGGGGGAAAGAAGGCAGUAAGGCAGGAUGAGGUUGUUCCCAAACACCAGUUAGGCAGUCAGUGAGGAGAGCCCCAGAGUGAAAGCAAAGAGGGACCUGCCUCUAGCCCCUCAAAUGCACACUGUUGUCUCUAUGCAUCCCGGCUCCCCUCCAGCCCUGAACCAGAUCCCUGCAUUUCACAGAUUGGGGUGCAAAGAUGCUCAGCUUCAACAGUCCUUCAGCACUGCACAGUCUGACAAGCUGCUCUCUCUCCCUGCAGACCUAGGAGAGGGGCUGAAAGGUGAAGGCUCCUGUGUGCAGGAAACACAGGGCCCAGGGUCUCUGGGAAAAUUGUGUGCUCUCCCCUAUUCUGUCUACAUGGGCAGCAUCUCCUUUUUCCAGGGGGCAUUCAUUCCAGCCAUGCCUGCAGUCCCUCAAUAUGGCUUCCCAGACACUCAAAAGCAUGGCCCAUGGCGGACCAAAGCCUACAGGCAGGGAUCCAACACCCUACCCUAAUCACUCCUGCAGGCACCUCCUGAGCUUCUUAGAUCCCUUGCUCUCUUGCCUCUUUCCACUUACCUUCUCCACCCCACCAUUCUCACCUUCUCAGCAAUGGCCCUCCCCACCCCCGUCUCCUACCAACUCAUGUCCUAGAACACCCAUGAUCCAAUGAAACACUGCUGUGGGGGAGGGACUUUUCCUCAGGGGAGCCCAGGAACCUCCAUUGAGUCCUCUCCUCCUUUUACAACAAAAACUCACUUCCUAGAGAAUGACAAGCAGAGGGAAAAGACUGGAAGGAGAUAUGUCAUCAAGAUGUUUCUCCAGGUGGUGAGAUUGUUGAUGAUUGACAGUUUUCUUUUGGGUACUUUUCUCUAAUAUCCCCCUUUUCUUUUAUAAGCACAUUUUAUGAGGAAAAAAACCAUAAAUAUUUAGAGUAGAGGCUGAAAUACAACCAUUUGAAUCAGACAAGGCUGUGAUUGAAUCCUGCCUCCACGCUUAGUUGCUCUUCUUCCUUGGGCAAAUCAUUUAAUCUUUCAAAACCUCAGUUUGUACGUCUGUAAAAUGGGGAAAAUAAUACCUACCU